GGGGACGCCGGCGACUCAGUAGUAAGGUGCUUUCGCCCUCUUGCUGUACUUGGGCAGCGGGGAGUCUGGGCAGGAACACUCUUCCAGCAAAGGAGCUGGACCCAGCACGGAUCAUCGGGGAUUGAAGACCCAGCCCUGGCCCUCACAGGAGGAGCCAACAGCACCACGCCAGUUACUUCCAACCAGACAGUCCCGGGCAGGGAUGCCAGCAGACAGCUGGCACGGGAGGAAGCCUAAAAUAACCCAGACAGCUGGGGUGAGGGGGUGCCAUGGGCACAGGCACUGGCUGCCAAGUCAAGCCACCUGGAACCCCAUCCUGGCUCUAUUGGUGGUGACCUUGGGGAGUCACUUCUCCCCGGACCAUGGGUGGGUGACCCAAAUCUUGACCCCAUCAUGGAACAGCCCCUGUGGAUGGGGAAAGGCCUGCAGCUGGACUCAACCACUCCAGAGGAGAACCGCGUUGGCCGCCUUCCCAGGGAGCGCCAGAUUCCCCUUUGCCCUGAGGCAGGGACACGUGCUUCAGCAGGUGGGCUGGUGCAGGGGGAAGCUCUGAGGCAGCCCAGCCCCCACCCCCUGCAGCCACUCCCAGCAAUAGCCACGAUCACAAUGGAGGCCAACUAAAAGCUUGGGAGGAGGGCCUCUUUAACGCACUUAAUCCUCCCACCACCCUUUCCAGCAGGCAUCCUUAUCACUUUACAGGGAGACACUCACCCAAGGUCACCAGCACUGAGAGAUCCUAGCCCAUGGCGAACUGACUAUCUCCCUUAACUUAGCACCAAGAUACCUUUAGCAAGAUCUCCGUGUUAAUCCCCACAGGCCCCCAGAGCUCAGUGUAGCCCUCACAGCGGGAGUGGGGCACCUGGACCCAAAUGGUUCAUCAAAGCAAUCACAAAGCAGAGAUCACAAGGAGGGGGGCUCCGAGACCAAGGGCCGCCAUCUCCAGCUGUGGAGCUUCUUAGACACUGAGAUGGGAAACUAUUCAAUACAUGAAGUCGGCUAGCGUUAGAAUGAAAUCAAUUACUAUGUGCCAAGCGUGGAACGUGGCACUUCUGCGUCAAAACCCCAGGUGUUACCAGGCUAGGGGCUGGAGUCUCAAAAUGUGUUCCCAGACCACAGCAUCAGCCUCACCUCACCUGGGAACUUGUUAGAAAUGCCAGUCCUAAGGACCAACCCACUGAAUCAGACACUUGGGCACCAGGCCCGGUGGUCCAUUUUCAGUGAGCCCCCUUUCCGGUGUGAUUCUGAUGCCGGUUCCAGACUAAGAACCACUGAUCUAGCCCUGUUUUCGGAGAUGGAGAAAUAGGCUUGGAGGCUAUGCCGCUUACGCAAGGCCAUAGCUGUUCAAUGGCUCCCCAGGUUUCAAAUCCAGCUUUGUCUGGUUCUAGAAACAAGGCUUAUAUACAGGCCUGCCCAUUCGGGGACUGGAGAAGAAAACAAUCCCAAGAAGGUGGAGAAGCGUCAAGGAAGGCCCUUUCAUAGAGAAAGCUGGCCGGAACCUCGGGUCUCUGUUCUUUGCCUCUCUAGCAGCCAGACAUCAGAGAACGGCUCACACUGUCACCCCACAUGCCCCACGGGGGCGGCUGGAGGGAAGGCCACAGCACAGUUGGGCUUUCUGGCAGUGACCUGUGUCUUUCAGAAGUAGGCGGCACCCAGGGCCCUCCCCCCGCCGAAGAACACACAACUGGGAAAUACUUGCAAGUGGAUCCUCUCGUAUGCUGCUAUAUUCGGCAGAGAAUUACAC
rnacentral:lncRNA from 1 species